rnacentral:lncRNA from 1 species
UAAGGAUUUUAUUCUCUUAGAUGCAUGUGAUGCAGUUGCAGUUGAUGAAUUUUUGAAUGGGAAUGAUGAAGUUAACAAGACUAAAAAUAAUUCUAGAGGAAGUUCUAUUGGGUCUAAAUCUAGAAAGACAUUUAUGUCACCUUCAAGACGUUCUGGUGGAUUCAUGUCACCUUCAAGACGUUCUGGUGGAUUCAUGUCACCUUCAAGAAGGUCUGCAGGAAAGACUGUUGACCCUGGUCCAAGUCAAAAUGCAUAUGAUGAUAAAAAGUUUGAAACUAAUGACCAUCAUAUGGAUGAUCAUGGAUUCGACAUGGAUGAUGGGUUUUCACAACCAGAGGCAUUUGAUG